UACGGAGGGUGCAAGCGUUAUCCGGAUUUAUUGGGUUUAAAGGGUUCGUAGGCGGACCGAUAAGUCAGUGGUGAAAUCUCAUAGCUCAACUAUGAAACUGCCAUUGAUACUGUCGGUCUUGAGUAAAUUUGAAGUGGCUGGAAUAAGUAGUGUAGCGGUGAAAUGCAUAGAUAUUACUUAGAACACCAAUUGCGAAGGCAGGUCACUAAGAUUUAACUGACGCUGAUGGACGAAAGCGUGGGUAGCGAACAGG
rnacentral:rRNA from 1 species